CCUCUUCUGUAAAAAAAAGAAAAGAAAAAGAAAUCCAUAUUGUUGGUCAUGAGGAGAUGAAUCUUAGACUUUGUGUUCCCUGGGAGGGGGAGGAUCAACGAUAACUCCAGACCUCCCUUGGCCCAGUGAUCAGAAAAGGCACACCGUCCUCAGGAUUCAACCUGGACAGGUGUCUCUCCGAUUGUUUUAAGGAGAAUUUUGUUAUAGCUCUGAAGAUAAGAUUGGAAAUGCCCAAAAGUGACCAGGGACUCAAAUUUAGUCAUUGUCAGAAGCUCUCAAAAGAUGGAGACACUUUGUUUUCUUUCUAAAGAACCAGACAGGUUUCCAUCCGUGCGAGAAGGCCUGCAGACCUGUGCUCUUCAAGUCCCAUCUAGAGAGCCUGGGAUUCUCCUCCCUCUCAGCCAUGAGCUUGAUCUCCUCCAGAGGAAACACAGCCAGCAGAGCUAAAGAGUGACACCUUCCUCCAGCACAGUGUAUCAUUGACCUGGG
ensembl:lncRNA